rnacentral:snRNA from 1 species
AAAUUUACAGUGCAUUUUCUUGUAAGUUACAGUGUAAUUUAUAAAACUUACACUGUAACUUUUGUAAGUUACACUGUAAUUUUUGAAUCUUCACAUGUAAAUUUUAAAUUUUGUAUUUGAUUUGGUCUUUUUCUUGAGGAUAUGGUAAUUUAAUGUUCAUUAUGGUGUUUCUUAAUUGCU